rnacentral:sRNA from 1 species
UACCGAAUUUAAGUCCAUGCGCCUUUCC